rnacentral:rRNA from 1 species
UACGGAGGGUGCAAGCGUUAAUCGGAAUUACUGGGCGUAAAGCGUGCGUAGGCGGUUCGUUAAGUCUGUUGUGAAAGCCCCGGGCUCAACCUGGGAAUGGCAAUGGAUACUGGCGAGCUAGAGUGUGUCAGAGGAUGGUGGAAUUCCCGGUGUAGCGGUGAAAUGCGUAGAGAUCGGGAGGAACACCAGUGGCGAAGGCGAUCAUCUGGGGUUGUUCUGACGCUGAGGAGCGAAAGCUAGGGGAGCAAACGGG